UACGUAGGGGGCGAGCGUUAUCCGGAUUUACUGGAUGUAAAGGGAGCGUAGACGGUUCUGCAAGUCUGAAGUGAAAGCCCGUGACUUAACCGCGGAACGGCUUUGGAAACUGUGGAACUGGAGUGCUGGAGAGGCAAGCGGAAUUCCUAGUGUAGCGGUGAAAUGCGUAGAUAUUAGGAGGAACACCAGUGGCGAAGGCGGCUUGCUGGACAGUAACUGACGUUGAGGCUCGAAAGCGUGGGGAGCAAACAGG
rnacentral:rRNA from 1 species